rnacentral:rRNA from 1 species
GGGUAACCUGCCUGUAAGACUGGGAUAACUCCGGGAAACCGGGGCUAAUACCGGAUGCUUGUUUGAACCGCAUGGUUCAAACAUAAAAGGUGGCUUCGGCUACCACUUACAGAUGGACCCGCGGCGCAUUAGCUAGUUGGUGAGGUAACGGCUCACCAAGGCGACGAUGCGUAGCCGACCUGAGAGGGUGAUCGGCCACACUGGGACUGAGACACGGCCCAGACUCCUACGGGAGGCAGCAGUAGGGAAUCUUCCGCAAUGGACGAAAGUCUGACGGAGCAACGCCGCGUGAGUGAUGAAGGUUUUCGGAUCGUAAAGCUCUGUUGUUAGGGAAGAACAAGUGCCGUUCAAAUAGGGCGGCACCUUGACGGUACCUAACCAGAAAGCCACGGCUAACUACGUGCCAGCAGCCGCGGUAAUACGUAGGUGGCAAGCGUUGUCCGGAAUUAUUGGGCGUAAAGGGCUCGCAGGCGGUUUCUUAAGUCUGAUGUGAAAGCCCCCGGCUCAACCGGGGAGGGUCAUUGGAAACUGGGGAACUUGAGUGCAGAAGAGGAGAGUGGAAUUCCACGUGUAGCGGUGAAAUGCGUAGAGAUGUGGAGGAACACCAGUGGCGAAGGCGACUCUCUGGUCUGUAACUGACGCUGAGGAGCGAAAGCGUGGGGAGCGAACAGGAUUAGAUACCCUGGUAGUCCACGCCGUAAACGAUGAGUGCUAAGUGUUAGGGGGUUUCCGCCCCUUAGUGCUGCAGCUAACGCAUUAAGCACUCCGCCUGGGGAGUACGGUCGCAAGACUGAAACUCAAAGGAAUUGACGGGGGCCCGCACAAGCGGUGGAGCAUGUGGUUUAAUUCGAAGCAACGCGAAGAACCUUACCAGGUCUUGACAUCCUCUGACAAUCCUAGAGAUAGGACGUCCCCUUCGGGGGCAGAGUGACAGGUGGUGCAUGGUUGUCGUCAGCUCGUGUCGUGAGAUGUUGGGUUAAGUCCCGCAACGAGCGCAACCCUUGAUCUUAGUUGCCAGCAUUCAGUUGGGCACUCUAAGGUGACUGCCGGUGACAAACCGGAGGAAGGUGGGGAUGACGUCAAAUCAUCAUGCCCCUUAUGACCUGGGCUACACACGUGCUACAAUGGGCAGAACAAAGGGCAGCGAAACCGCGAGGUUAAGCCAAUCCCACAAAUCUGUUCUCAGUUCG